GCUCUUUCUUUCAGUCCACACCUGCUGUAGCUGCUAACCACCACCUCCGCCAUCUUCUCUCCCUCAGGCCCUGGCGCGAUCACUAUCAAUCACAUACCUCCAGACCCAGACCCACCAAGAGGCCUGGACCUCGUGCUCCUGCCCGCUGACAGAGCCCUAGAGACGGAGAAGAAGGUUCGAGUGCAUAUGAAGAUGUGUCAGUCCUGAUCGUUAUCUGUCUAUGCUGGGUAUAAGUUCUGGUCCAGCAAAUGAGACGUGAACUCCAGGCCCUGUACUCUGUAAGCAUAUGAUCUUGAUCUUUACCCUUGGAGUGGAAACAGCCCUCUCCAUAGUGUUUAACCAGCCCUUACGCAGACUCUGCUGCAAGAUGACAUUACCAGAAAGGACACCAUGCUCUGAGCAGUUAGAGGAUGAGGAGGAGACAGAAGUGACAGUGGGAGAUGAAGAGGAGCAGGAUGAUGAUAACUCCUCAGCUUCCUACUACUCAGCCAUUAGCUCUCUUAGUGACUGGGAUGACCUGCCAAAGGAGAACGGGGUAGACGGAGGGCCUCAAACCCAGGUCUCUACUCCUCGAACCACCCCACCACCCCGGGUCAGAGAGUCUCCUCUCUCCCCUGUGCCUUUUCCAGGGGCUCAAACCCAGGUUGCCUGCCCUGGAACCACCCCAGCACCUCAAGACAGAGAUGCGGUCCUCUCAACUAAGCCCUCCUUUUGGCAUCAAACCCAGGUCUCCCCUCUUUGAACCACCCCACUACACCGGGACAGAGAUGCUGCCCCUUCUACUUCUCUUCCUUUUGGGUCUCAAACCCAAGUUGCUUCUACUCAAACCACCCUACUGCCCCAAAUCAGUGUGUUUCUUUUCCCACCUGUACCUUUUCCAGGGGCUCUAACCCAGGUCCCCUCCCCUGGAACAACCCCACUACCCCUGGGUACAAAGGCUGUACAUUGUCCAGCCCACCAACAGACCAAGGGGGGUGCAAAUCCAGCUAGAGAGGCUUCCAGCUCACCUACUCUGCAUCUCCCCUGCAGGGCCAGUGUGUCUGUGUCUGUCAGUGGGACUCAAAGUAGCCUGGUGGGCCGCCCACACCUGCCUCUCUGGUUCACCGUCAGGGCAAACCUCCUGCCCAGAAAAGGCCUGCAGGGAGGGCCAGAGGGAGACAGAGAGACAAGGGACAUCCAGGAGACAGGCAGAGAGACCAGAGAUAACCAGGAAACUAGUCAGGUGCCAACACAGGAGAAGAGAUGGCAGAGACAUAAGAGACCGGAGGAGUGUCAGGAGAGACAGAUAAGACA